ensembl:ncRNA T12A7.12 ncRNA
AAAGAGAUAGUCAGACACAGGAAGAAUCCCCACCAAAAGCUGUUUGCUCUUGAGAGCUCUGCCGCAAUCAGUCAUGUGCUCGGACACUCUUUGCAAGGGGUGACGUGUGAUCCGACAUAGUUUUCAGGUUUCUCAU